rnacentral:tRNA from 1 species
GCAUUAGUUAGCUUAGUUGGUAGUGCGUCUGCCUUGUAAGCGCUAGGCCGCGGGUUCGAUUCCCGCCCGGGGCG